ACCAGAAUGCUGCCAAAGAGGUGGCAGAGUGCUUGAUACUCAUAGAGGGAAUUUAAAUAGUGGUAUCUUACUACAAGGUAGGUUUACCCUUCCCUGUAUUGAGCUCUAUGGAAGAUGUUAUUGUUAAGAUGAUCAACAGAAGCAUUCACAACCGAUAAAUCCUCCCCAAGAAGCCCAGUCCAUAUGUGAGAGCACAUGUUGAGCUCAAGACUUCAUACGUAGAGGCUUGACAGUUAAGGAUAACUGUGGUAGGG
rnacentral:lncRNA from 10 species